GUGGCGCACGGGUGAGUAAUGUAUAGGUAAUAUGCCUUUUACUAAGGGAUAACAAAUGGAAACGUUUGCUAAUACCUUAUACUCCUUAUUAACCUAAGUUAAUAAGGGAAAGAUUUAUUGGUAAGAGAUUAGCCUGUAUUGUAUCAGUUAGUUGGUGGGGUAAUGGCCUACCAAGACUAUGACACAUAACUGGUUUGAGAGGAUGAUCAGUCACACUGGAACUGAGACACGGUCCAGACUCCUACGGGAGGCAGCAGUGGGGAAUAUUGCACAAUGGACGAAAGUCUGAUGCAGCAACGCCGCGUGGAGGAUGACACAUUUCGGUGCGUAAACUCCUUUUAUAUGAGAAGAUAAUGACGGUAUUAUAUGAAUAAGCACCGGCUAACUCCGUGCCAGCAGCCGCGGUAAUACGGGGGGUGCAAGCGUUACUCGGAAUCACUGGGCGUAAAGAGCAUGUAGGCGGAUUAAUAAGUUUGAAGUGAAAUCCUAUA
rnacentral:rRNA from 1 species